UUCUUAUUAAUUUAUUAUAAGUAACACCUGCUCAAUGAAUUUUAAAUAGCCGCGGAAAUUUAACUGUGCUAAGGUAGCAUAAUCAUUAGUCUUUUAAUUAAAGACUUGUAUGAAAGGUGAAACAUUUCAAUUUCUAUCUAAUUUAAUUUAAUUUAACUUAAAUUAAGAAUUAAAAUGUUCUUAUAAAUUAAAUAGACGAUAAGACCCUAUUGAACUUUACUAUUGUUUAGCUGGGGCAGCUAAAAAAUAAUAAUCUUUUUCUUAAUACUUAAAUAGAAGACCCAAUAAAUUUGAGUCUACGAAAAAGUUACCAUAGGGAUAACAGCGUAAUAUCCUUUUAAAGCUCUUAUUUAAAAAGAAGAUUGCGACCUCGAUGUUGAAUUAAUGUUUCUUUAAUAUGCAGUAAUAUUAAAAGUAAGUCUGUUCGACUAAUAAAACAUUACA
rnacentral:rRNA from 1 species